rnacentral:misc_RNA from 1 species
AAGUCGUAACAAGGUUUCCGUAGGUGAACCUGCGGAAGGAUCAUUAUUGAAUUCAAACGCGAAGUUGUGCUGGCUCUCUUCGGGCAUGUGCACGCGACGCAUAUAUUCAACCACCUGUGAAUCUAUUGUAGACCUGAGAAUAUUUCUCAAGGAAACUUGGACGAGGGGCUUGUUGGCAUUCAGUCGACUGCUCUUGCUUCCCAGGUCUAUGUCUUUACAAACCCCAAAUAACGUAAAAGAAUGAUCAAUGGCUUGUAUGAGCCUUAAAUCUAAUACAACUUUCAACAACGGAUCUCUUGGCUCUC